rnacentral:rRNA from 1 species
GACGAACGCUGGCGGCGUGCUUAACACAUGCAAGUCGAACGGAAAGGCCCUGCUUUUGUGGGGUGCUCGAGUGGCGAACUGGUGAGUAACACUUGAGUAACCUGCCCUUGACUUUGGGAUAACUUCAGGAAACUGGGGCUAAUACCGGAUAGGAGCUCCUGCUGCAUGGUGGGGGUUGGAAAGUUUCGGCGGUUGGUGAUGGACUCGCGGCUUAUCAGCUUGUUGGUGGGGUAGUGGCUUACCAAGGCUUUGACGGGUAGCCGGCCUGAGAGGGUGACCGGACAAAUUGGGACUGAGAUACGGCCCAGACUACUACGGGAGGCAGCAGUGGAGAAUAUUGCACAAUGGGCGGAAGCCUGAUGCAGCAACGCAGCGUGCGGGAUGACGGCAUUCGGGUUGUAAACCGCUGUCGCCUGUGACGAAGCGUGAGUGACGGUAAUGGGUAAAGAAGCACCGGCUAACUACGUG